UACGGAGGGUGCGAGCGUUGUCCGGAAUCACUGGGCGUAAAGGGCGCGUAGGCGGCCUGGUAAGUAGGGGGUGAAAUCCUGCGGCUUAACCGCAGGGCUGCCUUCUAAACUGUCAGGCUCGAGCACGGUAGAGGCAGAUGGAAUUCCCGGUGUAGCGGUGGAAUGCGUAGAGAUCGGGAAGAACAUCAGUGGCGAAGGCGGUCUGCUGGGCCGUUGCUGACGCUGAGAAGCGAAAGCAUGGGGAGCGAACAGG
rnacentral:rRNA from 1 species